rnacentral:lncRNA from 1 species
AAAAGACCUGUUCUGUCCCUGAGGCAUCUAAAAUGUGUGAAUGAAUUGCAAUUGUCCCGAGUAACCAUUUAACUUGCAAACAUUGUCAUGGAAAGAAUGCAUAUGGAACAAGUUCAGUUAUAUUUUUGAAAGGUAUUUGUUAGUAUAAAUGAAUAUAUAUAAUGCAAAUAUAUAUGCAGAGGGAGAGAAAUUAUUCAUCCUAAAAUUGUAAUAUGAGCUGUGAUGCAGUGGUUAAAAUACUAACUUUGUACACAUUCUUGAAAGUCUUGGAUUGGUACCCUCAAUUUUGAAUGGUGUUACAAAAUAAACACACAAUGGUUUGUUUUCUGUGUAUGCCCUUGUACAGACUCUGUGUUAUGGGAAAUGCUUAAAAGUUCACAUCAAGUUAAGGUAGAACUGGACAAAAAUAACUUCUUGCUAUUCCAUUUAUACUUGCUAAAAAUUCUUUUCUAAGGGUGUUGCAAAUUAAAAAACUGCCAUUUUUUAAAAAUCUGGUUAGGUUGUGUGUGUCCCUGAUCAUCAAGAAUACAGCUGAGACCCCAUCAUGUCCAUAUUAAAACAUUAGCACUUCAGGAGGUAAUCUCAUGUUUUUAAAAACUGAGUUUCUAAUGGACUUUUUGUGAUUAUGUACAUCUGAUUACUCCUUGCUUAGAAUGUUUCCCACUUAAAACAUCCAGAGCCUGUACUCAUGAAAUGAAACCCAAGAUAAAAUAGGGAGAACCUUCACAUGAAUUUAAUCCGCAUCACUUUUAUUUUUGUUUACAAUUUGCUUAUUUGGAUAUUUUCAAUUAAUUAUAAGCAUAUUUUUAUACAAUUUUAAUCUUUAGAAAUAACUAUUUUUUUUAAUGGAGAAAUUUAGAAUAUAUUCUAUGUGGACCUCAGCACAAGCAGAUAUGCUGGGAUUGCACAUCCACCUCUACACAAAUGGUUUGCUGGUUCCACAGAGAAGGCUCCUGAAUAACUGGGUGUUAAGAUGUCAUCUCUUAUAUUUCUGCUGGGCCACCAUCUCCAGGGUGCUGAGGGUCUGCAAUGAGCACAGGGCUGCCUUCAGGAGGUCACUGUGCAAGUAUUGCUGACUUGUGGAGAUGGUUUAUAAAUCUCUGGCGUGCUCUGGAGUUCAGUCUUUACUACUGUGGCAGAAUAGAACUUGCAGAACUAGCAGUGAUUAAUUAGAUUAGAUGGAGCAAAAUGACAGCUUGACAUGGAAGGGACUGCAAGGCAAUGCCUGGAGAGCAAAAAGGAUGGGAGGAAAACUUGGAUCCAGUUAUUUCACAGGCACCAAGAGAGCAUUUGUAACUCUGCUUUAUUUCCUGACUUAAGGCAGGUAUUCAGUAUAUAGUUAACUCAGUAUCUUUCUGAACAGCUGUGUAGUUCUGCUUUUACUUAGCAGCAUGGAGAACAUUAUAGUUUGGCAUGGGAAUUAGAUUAGUGCAGAGAAGCCCACUGUGAGAAGAUGUCUGUACCUUUCUGAGAUGGUGUUUUGGGGCUGGCAUUGUGGCACUUUGUCUGUGCUACAAUGCUGAACCCACAUCGUAGCCACUAAUUUAUCAAAUUGUUUUUCUUUAUGUAGUGUUUGAGUGAAAGCAGCUGCCAGGCCUAAGGCAGAUGCAAAUGAAUGGUGUGUGCUCUGCAAGUCACUGGCUGUUAAUGUGAAAAGUGUUCAGGCACAACAAUUUACAAACGUGAAUGCCUAAAGACAAGGUUCUUGAUUCACAGUUGAGUCAGAAAUCUGAUUUUCAGUUCCAACAUCUGCUUUUCCUCUUGAAGGUGAUGCAUUCUACUAGGACCCACCUCAGACUCCUCAGAACCUUUGUGUUUGGGCAUUUAGUAUGUGGAUUUAGGUACCUACCUUUAGCUUAGGUUGCUACUGCAGUGUCUUUUUUUAUCUCUUUGCCAUUGCAAGUUUUGGCAAGCAUUCUGUUUCUCAAAAGAGACCUAAAGGUAAAUGCAACUUUGUGCUGAUUCUUGGGGUGUUUUUAGCCACAAAAAAGAUGCAAAUCUGUGUCCUGAGUAUACGUAUGACAAAUUAAUAAUUUUGUAUGUUGUGCUUGUAUCAUGUUACCAUUAUUUCAGUUGUUUGACUAUAUCUCACUGGCAGAAUGAUUCUCUCCCACAACAAAUCCAUUUUUUUCUUCCAAAUAUAUAUGAAUAAAUAUAUAUAUAGCAAACUUGCAAGCAGGGCUAGUUAUUUGUAUUUUUUAAGCUUAAAGUAUACCGUCCGGUGCUGACAGAUACCCAGCACCUCUUCUGGAUUCCUUGCACAACUUCGUUUAGCUUUUGUAAAUUUUAAAAAUAAAUAUAGAGAGACCUAUGUGUUUGAAAUAUAAAUGAUAUAUAUGGAUUAGCAUGUAACUGUAUAUUAUUAAACAUGCAAUGAACUGACUGGUAAGUGAAGUCUAAUCUUAUGGCUAGCAAUGUAAUUUAUUCAGACUGUAUUUUUGUACAGCGCAGUGCACACUAACCUAUUGCCUCUGUGUCCUCUAUAAUGCCUAAAACUGUGCCUAGAAAUUUCAUUUAUGUCUUUCAAAGAAAAGAAAAAAGAUGAUUAAAUGCUUCAUGUUGUUGAUAGUAUUGGUUUUUCUGAUGUUGUUCUUUAUUUAUUUUUGAGAAGUGUACGGUAUGUUUAUUAAAUGAAUCCAUCAAAAUAGGGUUUGUUUUAAAUGGUUUUUGUUAGCAGGGAAAGACUGUUUUUUUUUUAUCUAAACUUUUAAGUUUGCAGUUUUAAUACAUUUCUGCAUUUCACGAUUUUUGUAGCUUACAUAAAGUUUUAUGUGAAAAAGUAACUGAAAUAAAAAAAA